UAAUAACUUGCUGCAAAACUCUUCCAAAAUUUAAUUCACCCGCCUUUUGCCCUUGUUCAUUUCACUCCAGCUGCUCCUCCCUCUCUCCCCAAUCCGUCUUCGUCUCUCGCACGGUGCGCAAAAAACCUACAGAUUUUUCGUGGGUUUGCUGUUGCGCAUUUGUGUUCAUUGUUGGAGUUCUGAGUUGCUGAUCGAUGGUACAUACGGAGGGGAAAACCAUAAUUUGGUUUUGUUUUGUUUGAGUCCGAGUCUCUGAAAUGGCCCGAGUUUGUAGAGUUUGAUGAUGUUAAUGGAAAUGUGCUAACCUACUCUACACAAGACAGGUACUUUGUCGGUGUUUAUACAGUUUAUUUACGGUGCCAAAUGCACAAUUAUUUUGUGGAUGCUAACAA